CGUUGAAACACCAGUUCUUGUAUGAUCACUGAAGUUAAGCAAUGUCAAGCCUUGCCAAUACCUAGAUGGGUGACAGCUUGGGAAUACCAGGUGAUGUA